rnacentral:rRNA from 1 species
GACGAACGCUGGCGGCGUGCUUAACACAUGCAAGUCGAACGGAAAGGCCCCUUUGGGGGUACUCGAGUGGCGAACGGGUGAGUAACACGUGAGUAACCUUCCCUUGACUUCGUGAUAACUUCAGUAAACUGGGGCUAAUACCGGUUAGGAAUCCUUUCUGCAUGGUUGGGGUUGUAAAGCUUCGGCGGUUUUGGAUGGACUCGCGGCUUAUCAGCUUGUUGGUGGGGUAGUGGCUUACCAAGGCUUUGUCGGGUAGCCGGCCUGAGAGGGCGACCGGCCACAUUGGGACUGAGAUAAGGCACAGAAUGCAACGGGAGGCAGCAGAGGGGAAUAUUGCACAAUGGGCGGAAGCAUGAUGCAGAAACGGCGCGUGCGGGAUGACGGCCUUCGGGUUGUAAACCGAUUUAAGCAGGGGCGAAGAUUGUGGUGACGGUACCGGCAGAAGAAGCACCGGCUAACUACGU